CCUCCAUCCUCCCCGCACAGGAGGAUGGAACGAGGUACCCGACGCUCUCUGCCCUGACUGCGUCGAGACCUCCCACACGGCCGAGGGACCGCACACCCCCGGCCGAGCAACUCCGGGCUGCGGUGCCGGACGGGUUGAGGGUCCCGUCAGGCGC
rfam:Streptomyces sp. Root431 contig_3, whole genome shotgun sequence.